UGAGCCAGAAAGGCAAUCGCUUGGGUUCGCCCAAGAGGAAAGUCCGGGCAACAUAGAGCAAGGUAGUCGCUAACGGCGACCGUCCGCAAGGACAGGGAAAGUACCACAGAAACAAUACCGCCCCGUUUGGGGUAAGGGUGAAAAGAGUGGGGUAAGAGCCCACAGCAUCUCGUAGCGAUACGUGGUGGCGGCAAACCCUACCUGUUGCAAGGAGUGCUAUUCGCCCCUGCUCGGGGACGCACGUUCACCGCUCGAACAUUGUAGCAAUGCAGUGUCUAGAUAGAUGAUUGCCAGUCGCGCCUCACGGCACAACUACAGAACCCGGCUUAUAGACGGCUCAUUUA
rnacentral:RNase_P_RNA from 1 species